UACGGAGGGUGCAAGCGUUGUCCGGAUUUAUUGGGUUUAAAGGGUGCGUAGGCGGCCCGUUAAGUCAGCGGUGAAAUCCCGGGGCUCAACCCCGGAACUGCCGUUGAUACUGGCGGGCUUGAGUUCGGUGAAGGCGGGCGGAACUGGCGGUGUAGCGGUGAAAUGCUUAGAUACCGCCAAGAACCCCGAUUGCGUAGGCAGCUCGCUGUGUCGAAACUGACGCUGAGGCACGAAAGCGUGGGGAGCGAACAGG
rnacentral:rRNA from 1 species